rnacentral:rRNA from 1 species
UGGGGAAUAUUGCACAAUGGGCGCAAGCCUGAUGCAGCCAUGCCGCGUGUAUGAAGAAGGCCUUCGGGUUGUAAAGUACUUUCAGCGAGGAGGAAGGUGUUGUGGUUAAUAACCGCAGCAAUUGACGUUACUCGCAGAAGAAGCACCGGCUAACUCCGUGCCAGCAGCCGCGGUAAUACGGAGGGUGCAAGCGUUAAUCGGAAUUACUGGGCGUAAAGCGCACGCAGGCGGUCUGUCAAGUCGGAUGUGAAAUCCCCGGGCUCAACCUGGGAACUGCAUCCGAAACUGGCAGGCUAGAGUCUUGUAGAGGGGGGUAGAAUUCCAGGUGUAGCGGUGAAAUGCGUAGAGAUCUGGAGGAAUACCGGUGGCGAAGGCGGCCCCCUGGACAAAGACUGACGCUCAGGUGCGAAAGCGUGGGGAGCAAACA